AGCAGCCGCGGUAAUUCCAGCUCCAAUAGCGUAUAUUAAAGUUGUUGCAGUUAAAAAGCUCGUAGUUGAAUUUCGGGAUCAAUACGUCGGUCGUACCUCGGUACGUACUAACGUCAUUGAUUUCUCCCUUCUGACGAACCAUGAUGCCAUUAAUUUGGUGUUAUGGGAAAUCAGGACUGUUACUUUGAAAAAAUUAGAGUGUUUAAAGCAGGCUCACGCUUGAAUACAUUAGCAUGGAAUAAUGAAAUAGGACGUUCGAUCCUAUUUUGUUGGUUUUUAGGAUCAACGUAAUGAUUAAUAGGGAUAGUUGGGGGCAUUAGUAUUCAAUUGUCAGAGGUGAAAUUCUUGGAUUUAUUGAAGACUAACUACUGCGAAAGCAUUUGCCAAGGAUGUUUUCAUUAAUCAAGAACGAAAGUUAGGGGAUCGAAGACGAUCAGAUACCGUCGUAGUCUUAACCAUAAACUAUGCCGACUAGGGAUCGGAUGAUGUUAAUUAUUUAAUGACUCAUUCGGCGCCUUACG
rnacentral:rRNA from 1 species